UGAGGAGCGAAAGGCGUGGGGAGCGAACAGGAUUAGAUACCCUGGUAGCCCACGCCGUAAACGGUGGGCGCUAGUUGUGCGAACCUUCCACGGUUUGUGCGACGCAGCUAACGCAUUAAGCGCCCCGCCUGGGGAGUACGAUCGCAAGAUUAAAACUCAAAGGAAUUGACGGGGCCCCGCACAAGCAGCGGAGCAUGCGGCUUAAUUCGACGCAACGCGAAGAACCUUACCAAGGCUUGACAUAUACAGGAAUACGGCAGAGAUGUCGUAGCCGCAAGGUCUGUAUACAGGUGGUGCAUGGUUGUCGUCAGCUCGUGUCGUGAGAUGUUGGGUUAAGUCCCGCAACGAGCGCAACCCUCGUUCUGUGUUGCCAGCAUUUAGUUGGGGACUCACAGGAGACUGCCGGGGUUGACUCGGAGGAAGGUGGGGAUGACGUCAAAUCAUCAUGCCCCUUAUGUCUUGGGCUGCACGCAUGCUACAAUGGCUGGUACAAACGGCUGCAAUACCGCAAGGUGGAGCGAAUCCGAGAAAGCCAGUCUCAGUUCGGAUUGGGGUCUGCAACUCGACCCCAUGAAGUCGGAGUGGCUAGUAAUCGUAGAUCAGCAACGCUACGGUGAAUACGUUCCCGGGACUUGUACACACCGCCCGUCACAUCACGAAAGUCGGUAACACCCAAAGUCAGUGGCCCAACCGCAAGGAGGGAGCUGCCAAAG
rnacentral:rRNA from 1 species